UUUUCGCUAAGGGAUCAGCCUAUGUCCUAUCAGGUAGUUGGUGAGGUAACGGCUCACCAAGCCAAUGACGGGUAUCUGGUUUGAGAGGAUGAUCAGACACACUGGAACUGAGACACGGUCCAGACUCCUACGGGAGGCAGCAGUGAGGAAUAUUGCACAAUGGAGGAAACUCUGAUGCAGCAACGCCGCGUGGAGGAUGACGCAUUUCGGUGUGUAAACUCCUUUUAAGAGGGAAGAUUAUGACGGUACCUCUUGAAUAAGCACCGGCUAACUCCGUGCCAGCAGCCGCGGUAAUACGGAGGGUGCAAGCGUUACUCGGAAUCACUGGGCGUAAAGGGUGCGUAGGCUGACUUUUAAGUCAGGCGUGAAAUCCAAUGGCUUAACCAUUGAACUGCGCUUGAAACUGGGAGUCUAGAGUUCAGAAGGGGCAGAUGGAAUUAGUGGUGUAGGGGUAAAAUCCGUAGAUAUCACUAGGAAUAUCAAAAGCGAAGGCGAUCUGCUGGGAUGAUACUGACGCUGAGGCACGAAAGCGUGGGGAGCAAACAGGAUUAGAUACCCUGGUAGUCCACGCCCUAAACGAUGAAUGCUAGUCGUCGGGGAGCUCGUCUCUUCGGUGAUGCACUUAACAGAUUAAGCAUUCCGCCUGGGGAGUACGGUCGCAAGAUUAAAACUCAAAGGAAUAGACGGGGACCCGCACAAGUGGUGGAGCAUGUGGUUUAAUUCGAAGAUACACGAAGAACCUUACCUGGCCUUGACAUGGUAGGAACCCUGUAGAGAUACGGGGGUGCUGGCUUGCUAGAGCCUACACACAGGUGCUGCACGGCUGUCGUCAGCUCGUGUCGUGAGAUGUUGGGUUAAGUCCCGCAACGAGCGCAACCCUCGUCCUUAGUUGCUAACGGUUCGGCCGAGCACUCUAAGGAGACUGCCUUCGCAAGGAGGAGGAAGGUGAGGACGACGUCAAGUCAUCAUGGCCCUUACGGCCAGGGCUACACACGUGCUACAAUGGGGCGUACAGAGAGCUGCGAUACCGCGAGGUGGAGCCAAUCUCUUAAAGCGUCUCUCAGUUCGGAUUGUUCUCUGCAACUCGAGAACAUGAAGCUGGAAUCACUAGUAAUCGCAGAUCAGCUAUGCUGCGGUGAAUACGUUCCCGGGUCUUGUACUCACCGCCCGUCACACCAUGGGAGUUGAUUUCACCCGAAAUCGGGAUGC
rnacentral:rRNA from 1 species